rnacentral:tRNA from 1 species
GGUAAUGUGGCUUUAGAGGUAGAGUGCUUGCUUAGCAUGCAUGAAGUCCUGGGUUCAAUUCCUCAGUACCA